GUAGGUGAACCUGCGGAAGGAUCAUUAGUGAAUUUAGCAUCAUUACGAAAGUAAGAUGUGACCCCACUCAAUACACUGUGCAUUUAUUGACGAAGAAAAAAAAUAAUUUGAAAUUUAUUUCAUUGAAUUUUGAUUCUUUGUGGCUCACUUUUAAACACCAGUAUAAGUAUGUAUUAUAAAUAAAAUAAGAAAAACUUUCAACAACGGAUCUCUUGGCUCUC
rnacentral:misc_RNA from 1 species